UUCUGGACCCUUGACAACGUGCGUGCACACUUUCAUGAUAUAAACAAGUGAAAACUUAACGAACAAACAAACUCACUUUCCGAUUUAUAAUAUUAGUAUAUAUUAUUAUUAUCAUACUCUAAGUCCAACAAUUAGGUAAAUUAAGACCUACUAUAGUGCACUAUGUAAUUUUCAAGCACUUUUUUGUGUCAAAUAGAAAAAUAAAGUUGACAGUUAUAUUGACAGUAGGCAGGAGAUGUCACUUCCAGAUUGCAGUGCGUUACCAUAAGCAGCGGUUCUUUAACACCAUCGAUUGGAGGCAACUGAUUGAAACCAACAAGCAAUACCAAAGCCGCUUCUUUUCAAUAUAAUUUCGUACAAAACUACGAAGAAAUUAAGUUCUUUGUGUCCGUGUACUACGUUAUCACGUUCCCGAGGUCUUUACAACUGCGUUCAAGGUAUCAACAGGUGGCGUGAAGAGGGGAUUGAGGAAGGAAUAAGGAAAAGGAAGUCCCAACAAUCUAUAGGAACAUCCUUUCUGCGUCGGCAAGUGAAAUCAUCACAACAUCCCAAAUUUGUCGUUCCGAAAAUCAUAAAUCUAUUUGUUGAAAACUAGAGAAAAGUAAUUUAAAUAUGCAAUACAUUAUAAUCUAUGCA